rnacentral:lncRNA from 1 species
GGAGUACAUACAAAAUAUAACCAUCAAAUUUAAUAAUAUAAUUAACGUGUUCGAGGCACAGCUCGUAUCUACACAUACGGUAAACAAAAUAUAUAUAUUCGGUCACAGCCGUCAUCAAAAUGCAUGAUCAUAAACCAAUAUAUAUAAAGUCUCGACCCACCGAAAUUGGAAGAGGCUAAGUUGGUUAGUAGCAAGAUAUAUUUACCAAAAACAGCAACAUAUAAUACUUCAUCAUAUAAUAGAACGGGAGAAUGUGGAGCUCCAUGUCUGCUGUCUUGCCGUCAACUCCUUAACCUGAAAAGAAUCAUAAAUAAUAGGGUAUGAGUGUGCAAGCACACUCAGUGGGGUAAACACUGCAAGCAGUUAUAACCAAUUGUGUAAUGAAUCAUAACAUGUUGAACUCUUAUAAUUUUUCACUUAGCUGACAUCUUGUGAGACUAGUCUCGGUCCCUUGUGGACCUGACCCCUUGUGGGCCGUUCAGCUCUUUGAUCCCUUGUGGAUCCGACCCCUUGUGGGUCCCAUUAGUUCAUAUGAAUGACGCACAACACAAUAAUGAUUAUAACCAUGUAACAACUACGCUUACAGAUAAAAGUAAACCCCACCUUAAGUGAUUGAAUUCAAACCUUGCUUCGGUUGUCCUCCUCGAGCCUUGGAUGCGCCGCUCCUAGCACUUGAAACACUUUAAACUUAGUUUCAUUACAAGCACUUAUUCUUGAAUAAGCUCUCAUUUCUUUAAACAAUAUUUUUAAUCUCUCUUGAAUAUAUUCUUGAAAAUUCUACAAUACACUUGAAGCUGAAGACCAU